rnacentral:rRNA from 1 species
UCUGUUAGUGGGAGCGGCGCAAGGGUGCGUAACACGUGGGCAAUCUGCCGUGAAGUUUGGGAUAAUCCCGCGAAAGCGGGACUAAUACCGGAUGUGACAGUUGGGAGGCAUCUCCUGGUUGUUAAAGUUGGGGACCGCAAGGCCUGACGCUUCACGAUGAACCCGCGGCCUAUCAGCUAGUUGGCGAGGUAACGGCUCACCAAGGCUAAGACGGGUAGCUGGUCUGAGAGGACGACCAGCCACACUGGAACUGAGACACGGUCCAGACACCUACGGGUGGCAGCAGUCGAGAAUUUUUCACAAUGGGGGAAACCCUGAUGGAGCGACGCCGCGUGGGGGAUGAGUGGCUUCGGCCCGUAAACCCCUGUCAUUUGCGAGCAAGGCGCAUUAUUUAAAAGAUGAUGUGUUGAUAGUAGCGAAAGAGGAAGGGACGGCUAACUCUGUGCCAGCAGCCGCGGUAAUACAGAGGUCCCGAGCGUUGUUCGGAUUCACUGGGCGUAAAGGGUGCGUAGGUGGUGGGGUAAGUCGGAUGUGAAAUCUCGGAGCUCAACUCCGAAAAGGCAUUGGAAACUGCCCUGCUAGGGGAUUGGAACUGAGGGAGGAGUAGUGAAAUGCGUUGAUACCCUCGGGAACACCAGUGGCGAAGGCGAAUCUCUGGAAGGAAAUUGACGCUGAGACACGAACGCUAGGGGAGCGAAGCAGAUUAGAGACCUGCGUAGUCCUAGCUGUAAACGCAUGCUUGCUAGCUGCAUGUCCUGAUUUAUCAGGACGUGUGGCGAAGGAAAUCCGUUAAGCAAGCCGCCUGGGGAGUACGACCGCAAGGUUAAAACUCAAAGGAAUUGGCGGGGAGGCACACAACCAGUGGAACAUGUGGUUCAAUUCGAUACAAACCGAAGCACCUCACCAGGGUUUGAAAUACGAGAGUUCUAUUCUAUGGAAACAUAGAAGAUGCGCAAGCAGGCUCGUACGGGUGCUGCAUGGCUGUCGUCAGCUCGUUCCGUGAGGAGUACCCUUAAGUGGGACAACGAGCGCAACCCCCAUCCUGUGUUACAAGUAUCACAGGGGACUGCUCCGCCUUUGGCGGGGAGGAAGGAGGGGCAGACGUCAAGUCAGCAUGGUCCUUAUACCCUGGGCUACACACAUGUUACAAUGAAUGUUCAACAAUGGGUUUUGCCAACCGGUAACGGUGAGCGAAUCCCAGAAAUACUUUCUCAGUGGGGAUUGAGGUCUGCAACUCGACCUCAUGAACAUGGAAUUGGUAGUAAUCGCGGAUCAGCUAUGCCGCGGUGAAUACGUUCUUGCCUCUUGCACACACCGCCCGUCAAGCCAACAAAGUCGGGGACAUUUGAACUCCGCCAUUCGGCGGGGGAGAGUAUCGUCGGCGAUGAGGGUUAAGUCGUAACAAGGUAACCGUUCUGGAAGG